UACAGAGGUCCCAAGCGUUGUUCGGAUUUACUGGGCGUAAAGCGCGCGUAGGCGGCUACUUAAGUCGGAUGUGAAAGCCCCUGGCUCAACUGGGGAAGUGCACCCGAAACUGAGUGGCUUGAGUGCGAAAGAGGGUCGCGGAAUUCCCGGUGUAGAGGUGAAAUUCGUAGAUAUCGGGAGGAACACCGGUGGCGAAGGCGGCGACCUGGGUCGACACUGACGCUGAGGCGCGAAAGCGUGGGGAGCAAACAGG
rnacentral:rRNA from 1 species